rnacentral:lncRNA from 1 species
CUGAAGUCUAAGGAUUCAUAGCGUGACUGAGAGUAUCGUGAAAACAUGACAUGGCUCUAGGCACACAACUAAUGUUUUGGGUACGAGUACCCUCAGGACUCGAUGGAAGGAAACUGACCAAGCAUAACUUACUUGAACAUAUAACUAACAUCAUAAUCCAUAAUACAUUUAUAGAAGCAUUUCAUCAAAACAUGUGAUUGGCAUAACUUGUACAUAUAUGGGGAUUU